rnacentral:rRNA from 1 species
AGUGAACGCUGGCGGUAGGCCUAACACAUGCAAGUCGAACGGCAGCACAGUAAGAGCUUGCUCUUACGGGUGGCGAGUGGCGGACGGGUGAGGAAUACAUCGGAAUCUACUUUUUCGUGGGGGAUAACGUAGGGAAACUUACGCUAAUACCGCAUACGACCUACGGGUGAAAGCAGGGGAUCUUCGGACCUUGCGCGAUUGAAUGAGCCGAUGUCGGAUUAGCUAGUUGGCGGGGUAAAGGCCCACCAAGGCGACGAUCCGUAGCUGGUCUGAGAGGAUGAUCAGCCGCACUGGAACUGAGACACGGUCCAGACUCCUACGGGAGGCAGCAGUGGGGAAUAUUGGACAAGGGCGCAAGCCUGAUCCAGCCAUACCGCGUGGGUGAAGAAGGCCUUCGGGUUGUAAAGCCCUUUUGUUGGGAAAGAAAAGCAGCAGGUUAAUACCCCGCUGUUCUGACGGUACCCAAAGAAUAAGCACCGGCUAACUUCGUG